CUGAAUUCCAGUUGAUCCUGCUGGAGGGUACUGCUACCGGAAUCCGACUAAGGCAUGCAAGUCUACGCCUGCACUUGUAGGCGUGGCAGACGGCUGAGUAACACGUGGUCAACCUCCCCUGAAGACGGGAAUAACCUCGGGAAACUGAGGGUAAUUCCCGAUAGGCCAUCAAUGCUGGAACGCUUGAUGGUUAAAAAGGAGGGCGAAUUGGAGCCUUUCCGCUUCAGGAUGGGACCGCGGGGGAUUAGGUUGUUGGCGGGGUAACGGCCCACCAAGCCGAUAAUCCCUAGGGGCCAUGGGAGUGGGAGCCCCCAGAGGGACACUGAGACAAGGGUCCCAGCCCUACGGGGUGCAGCAGCCGCGAAACCUCCGCAAUGCGCGCAAGCGUGACGGGGGGAUUCCGAGUGGUGUUGGCUCUUGCUAACACCUUUUGCCAAGUGUACAAACGCCAGAAUGGUGGUGCAAAGCUUGGCGAAUAAGGGUGUGGGCAAGACCGGUGGCAGCCGCCGCGGUAACACCGGCGCCUCAAGUGGUACCCACGAAUAUUGGGUCUAAAGCGCCCGUAGCCGGUCGUGCAAGUCCACUGUGAAAUGUUGGGGCUUAACUCCAACGCGUGCAGUGGAUACUGCACGACUUGGGAGCGGGGGAGGGUAGGGGUACGCCCGGGGUAGCGGUAAAAUGUGUUGAUCCUGGGCGGACCACCAGUGGCGAACCUUUUUUGGGAUGCCUAAAAAGGUUUCAUCCAAAAAAGCGCUAAGGCGCCUACCCAAAACGCGUCCGACGGUGAGGGGCGAAAGCUGGGGGAGCGAAGGGGAUUAGAUACCCCCGUAGUCCCAGCUGUAAAUGAUGCCAACUAGAUGCUACUGCAUCUUUGAGAUGCAGUAGUGCCGUAGCGAAGGCGUUAAGUUGGCCACCUGGGGAGUACGAUCGCAAGAUUGAAACUUAAAGGAAUUGGCGGGGGAGCACCACAAGGGGUGGAUGCUACGGUUCAAUCGGAUACAACGCCGAACACCUCACCAGAGGCGACGGCAGAAUGAAGGCCAGGCUGAAGACCUUGCCAGACAAGCCGAGAGGUGUUGCAUGGCCAUCGUCAGCUCGUGGUGUGAACUGUCCGGUUAAGUCCGGCAACGAGCGAGACCCAUGCCCUUAGUUGCUAACUCCAUCUCCGGAUGGGGUGCACUCUAAGGGGACUGCCCGCGUUAAGUGGGAGGAAGGAGUGGGCGACGGUAGGUCCGUAUGGCCCGAAUCCUCUGGGCUACACGCGGCAUACAAUGGGCGGCACAACGGGUUGCCACUCCGAAAGGAGGAGCUAAUCCCUGAAAACCGUCCCUUAGUUCAGAUCGAGGGCUGCAACUCGCCCUCGUGAAGCUGGAAUCCCUAGUAAUCGCGCUUCACUAUAGCGCGGUGAAUGCGUCCCUGCUCCUUGCACACACCGCCCGUCAAGUCACCCAAGUGUGGUUUCGGUGAGGCCCUCCUUUUUGGGAGGCUCGAACCGGGGCUACGCGAGGGGGGCUAAGUCGUAACAAGGUAUCCGUAGGGGAACCUGCGGAUAGAUCACCUCCAAA
rnacentral:rRNA from 1 species